rnacentral:rRNA from 1 species
UACGUAGGGUGCGAGCGUUAAUCGGAAUUACUGGGCGUAAAGCGUGCGCAGGCGGUGAUGUAAGACCGAUGUGAAAUCCCCGGGCUUAACCUGGGAACUGCAUUGGUGACUGCAUUGCUGGAGUAUGGCAGAGGGGGGUGGAAUUCCACGUGUAGCAGUGAAAUGCGUAGAGAUGUGGAGGAACACCGAUGGCGAAGGCAAUCCCCUGGGCCUGUACUGACGCUCAUGCACGAAAGCGUGGGGAGCAAACAGG